UGAUUAAUUCUUGUGUCUUUCAGCCUGUUUCUGCCUAUCACCAUGAGUGAUUCCUCAAUACUCAGAUUUAUCACCAAGAUCUCAAUUAUAAGCUCAAGUUUUGAUGACAACUUGGUGAUCUGCAUAAAGCACCACCAUGUAAGGAAGGCCAAGACCACUCUGGAAUCAGUCAAGGCUCAUAGGAACUCCAAUCUUCCCAACUGUGAGAGGGCCUUGCUCCAGUGACUGUGAAAUGGAGUGAGGCAUACCAGGAUAUGCCUGGUUUUACUUUUGGGAAGGAGGUUGAACAGUGCAAUAUUUCUUCUAUAGGAUUGCAGUGACCAGACAUGCUACUGUAACUCUCAUGGUCAUGUGCUGGAAUUAGCAGAUAUUCAACAAUUUGGCCAUCUCGCUGACCUGUUGAUAUCAGAAGACCGCAGCAGCUCUGCAAAGCAAGUUGCAAAACAGAAUCCAUGAAACUGGCAGUGACUGGAAACCAAUUGGAAGACUUUGGUCUGUGAUGUAGAGGAGUGGGCAGAGGUAGCAGAAGCAAAAACAACAAACAACAGAAGUGAUAUGGAUGUCUUCGUCAUAUUGCAUGACUCUGCUGACCCAGCAACAAAGAGGAGGGUGUUCAACAUCAUCCUGCUAGUCAGGAUUCUUCAGGAGAAGCAGAGGAUUCUUGUGGCAGAGAUGGCCAACCACUAUAAAUACCUUUCAACUCAUCCUGGUUCUUUCAAAGAACUUUCUUGCUUGUUUGCUACUGAAAUGUACUGAUUCGACAUGUGGCCUUAACGAAGAGGGGUUAAAAGGUCUAUGGAUCAUCAUUCUCAAAAAGCAACAAAAUAACUGAGAAAUAAACAACAAUACGAUGGUGCAAUCUAGAGACCUGCAAGGUACCUGCAAGUUUUGGCAGGAGCAGAGAACAUACAUUUUUUUUAAAUAAAGCUCCAGCUGAUGAGUAUGACAUUGACUGUGGA